rnacentral:rRNA from 1 species
ACGCUGGCGGCGUGCGUAAUACAUGCAAGUCGAACGAGUUCUCGUUGAUGAUCGGUGCUUGCACCGAGAUUCAACAUGGAACGAGUGGCGGACGGGUGAGUAACACGUGGGUAACCUGCCCUUAAGUGGGGGAUAACAUUUGGAAACAGAUGCUAAUACCGCAUAGAUCCAAGAACCGCAUGGUUCUUGGCUGAAAGAUGGCGUAAGCUAUCGCUUUUGGAUGGACCCGCGGCGUAUUAGCUAGUUGGUGAGGUAAUGGCUCACCAAGGCGAUGAUACGUAGCCGAACUGAGAGGUUGAUCGGCCACAUUGGGACUGAGACACGGCCCAAACUCCUACGGGAGGCAGCAGUAGGGAAUCUUCCACAAUGGACGCAAGUCUGAUGGAGCAACGCCGCGUGAGUGAAGAAGGCUUUCGGGUCGUAAAACUCUGUUGUUGGAGAAGAAUGGUCGGCAGAGUAACUGUUGUCGGCGUGACGGUAUCCAACCAGAAAGCCACGGCUAACUACGUGCCAGCAGCCGCGGUAAUACGUAGGUGGCAAGCGUUAUCCGGAUUUAUUGGGCGUAAAGCGAGCGCAGGCGGUUUUUUAAGUCUGAUGUGAAAGCCCUCGGCUUAACCGAGGAAGCGCAUCGGAAACUGGGAAACUUGAGUGCAGAAGAGGACAGUGGAACUCCAUGUGUAGCGGUGAAAUGCGUAGAUAUAUGGAAGAACACCAGUGGCGAAGGCGGCUGUCUGGUCUGUAACUGACGCUGAGGCUCGAAAGCAUGGGUAGCGAACAGGAUUAGAUACCCUGGUAGUCCAUGCCGUAAACGAUGAAUGCUAGGUGUUGGAGGGUUUCCGCCCUUCAGUGCCGCAGCUAACGCAUUAAGCAUCCGCC